GACGAACGCUGGCGGCGUGCUUAACACAUGCAAGUCGAACGAUGAAACCUAGCUUGCUAGGUCGAUUAGUGGCGAACGGGUGAGUAACACGUGACUAACCUGCCUCUUUCUCUGGGAUAACGCUCCGAAAGGAGUGUUAAUACCGGAUACCCACACCGAGGCACAUGCCUUGGUGUGGAAAGUUUUUCGGAAAGGGAUGGAGUCGCGGCCUAUCAGCUUGUUGGUGAGGUAACGGCUCACCAAGGCGACGACGGGUAGCCGGCCUGAGAGGGCGACCGGCCACACUGGGACUGAGACACGGCCCAGACUCCUACGGGAGGCAGCAGUGGGGAAUAUUGCACAAUGGGCGCAAGCCUGAUGCAGCGACGCCGCGUGAGGGAUGAAGGUCUUCGGAUUGUAAACCUCUUUCAGUAGGGACGAAGCGAAAGUGACGGUACCUAAAGAAGAAGCACCGGCUAACUACGUGCCAGCAGCCGCAGUAA
rnacentral:rRNA from 1 species